GCUGCGGUCGUCUAGUGGCCUAGGACAGUGGGUUUUCAGCCCAUUAAUCAGGGGUUCGACUCCCCUCCGCAGCAC
rnacentral:tRNA from 1 species